rnacentral:pre_miRNA from 1 species
AUUGUACUUCAUCAGGUGCUCUGGUGUUCGGGUUACCCGGCACAUGUUGAAGUACAUUCA